GGUUCUUUAGCUUAGUUGGUAGAGCACCAGAUUUAGAAUCAUAGGAGAUGCUGGUUCAAGUCCAGCAAGAACCA
rnacentral:tRNA from 1 species